UGGACAUUUUAUUUCAACCAGCUUUGAAAUGUAAUCUAAAAAUUACAACAUAACACCUUUCUGUUGAAGUAGUCCCAAGAAAUUUAAGACGCCAUUUAUAACCGCUCUGAUUAAUACAACAUGCAGAGGUUGGUCACUCCUCGUUUGGCAGUUAGAGAUUUAAAUUCAAAUUCCAACGGUUUUCAACGGUUAAAAAAAAAAUAACCACAACAAAAAUAUCCAACUGACAAAACAAGCGUUUGUGUCCAUAUAUAAACCCAGCGUUAGCAAAUGUUUCACCUUUCUUGAUCGGGGUCGUCUAAUAACUGCGAUAAACCGAAAAGAGUGACUGUUUUAGUUUAAUAUAAGGCUGCUUAUCGUGGUCCGAAAUCCGCCCUAGCAUGCUUGCUGCCUUCGACGCAUACCACCAAGCUACCCCCGACUCCCUGGUCCUGCUACCGGUGCAGUAUGGUAUCGCCAUUUGCUUUGGAUCCCAUGAAUGGACAUGCAUGGAGAGAUGUCAGAGUGAGGAGGCUGCACACUGAUGGAGAAGUUGAGGCUCCAGUGCCUUGCUCAAGGGUAUCUCAACAGUGUGAACAGUCAGCCUCAGCCAUCAGCCCAAUUUGUAUACUUAUGUCUGUUCCGGAACUUGAACUGGUGACCCCUCUUGUGUCCUCAACCCAAGUCCCUGCAAACUGUUUAUCAUAAAGUCUUCAGUUGCAUUAUGGUCUUGCACUUUGCUACUUGAUAUAGUCUACACAGUGUAAACAUGUAAUUUAAAAGGAAUUGCAAAUAAAUGCAGAAAAGAAAAAGUCAAA